rnacentral:rRNA from 1 species
AUAAUGGGUCAGCGACUUAUAUUCUGUAGCAAGGUUAACCGAAUAGGGGAGCCGAAGGGAAACCGAGUCUUAACUGGGCGUUAAGUUGCAGGGUAUAGACCCGAAACCCGGUGAUCUAGCCAUGGGCAGGUUGAAGGUUGGGUAACACUAACUGGAGGACCGAACCGACUAAUGUUGAAAAAUUAGCGGAUGACUUGUGGCUGGGGGUGAAAGGCCAAUCAAACCGGGAGAUAGCUGGUUCUCCCCGAAAGCUAUUUAGGUAGCGCCUCGUGAAUUCAUCUCCGGGGGUAGAGCACUGUUUCGGCAAGGGGGUCAUCCCGACUUACCAACCCGAUGCAAACUGCGAAUACCGGAGAAUGUUAUCACGGGAGACACACGGCGGGUGCUAACGUCCGUCGUGAAGAGGGAAACAACCCAGACCGCCAGCUAAGGUCCCAAAGUCAUGGUUAAGUGGGAAACGAUGUGGGAAGGCCCAGACAGCCAGGAUGUUGGCUUAGAAGCAGCCAUCAUUUAAAGAAAGCGUAAUAGCUCACUGGUCGAGUCGGCCUGCGCGGAAGAUGUAACGGGGCUAAACCAUGCACCGAAGCUGCGGCAGCGACGCUGAUGCGUUGUUGGGUAGGGGAGCGUUCUGUAAGCCUGCGAAGGUGUGCUGUGAGGCAUGCUGGAGGUAUCAGAAGUGCGAAUGCUGACAUAAGUAACGAUAAAGCGGGUGAAAAGCCCGCUCGCCGGAAGACCAAGGGUUCCUGUCCAACGUUAAUCGGGGCAGGGUGAGUCGACCCCUAAGGCGAGGCCGAAAGGCGUAGUCGAUGGGAAACAGGUUAAUAUUCCUGUACUUGGUGUUACUGCGAAGGGGGGACGGAGAAGGCUAUGUUGGCCGGGCGACGGUUGUCCCGGUUUAAGCGUGUAGGCUGGUUUUCCAGGCAAAUCCGGAAAAUCAAGGC